rnacentral:rRNA from 1 species
CCUACGGGAGGCAGCAGUAGGGAAUUUUGCGCAAUGGGGGAAACCCUGACGCAGCAACGCCGCGUGAUCGAUGAAGCCCUUCGGGGUGUAAAGAUCUGUCAGUGGGGACGAAACCUGACGGUACCCACAGAGGAAGCACCGGCUAACUCCGUGCCAGCAGCCGCGGUAAUACGGGGGGGGAAAGCGUUGGCCGGAAACAUGGGGCGUAAAGAGUUCGAAGGUGGCACGUAAGGUCAGGUGUUAAAGGCGGAAGCUCAACGUCCGUAGGGCACUGGAUAAUGGCGAGCUUGAAUGCGGUAGAGGUAAAGGGAAUUCCUGGUGUAGCGGUGAAAGGCGUAGAUAUCAGGAGGAACAUCGGUGGCGUAAGCGCUUUACUGGGCCGUAAUUGACACUGAGGAACGAAAGCCGGGGUAGCAAAUGGGAUUAGAUACCCGAGUAGUC